UCUCAAAGUGCCCUGAGCUGUGGCUUGGGAUCUCCGUUGGAUGAGGCAUCAUGUUCUUUUCUUUCUGUCUUCAUCUAUUUCCUUUCCAGGGUCAGGCAAGAGGAGGAGGCAAGAGCAUAGAGAAAUACAGAUGGAAGUGUAUUUUUAGCCUAACUGGUCCUGCUGUGGUCAUUCCUUCAGCGUGAACACUAUGCUGACUGGCUGGCUGUCAUGGGCAUGAAGAUGCUGCUCUCUCAUGGGGCAGAGAUGUAGGGUCUUAAGGAAACUCUACAGCCACAGUUCACACUGCUAAUGAGCUUUCCAGCCCACCGCCUGUCACCCUCUCCUUGACCUUGGCCAUACAACUCCAGUCUCCCACUGUGACAGUCCUCCACCUGGGGCCGAGUAUCUUAAGAUGAUCUAAACCCAUCUGGCUUUCAAGGCAUCCACUUGACCAACAGGAAGCUCACAGGUCUUCACCACGUGGAACAGCCGGAGUACAAGCUGUGCCUGUCUAGUUGUCUUUCCUCACCCUACCAACGAGGGCUGCUCCUUAAGAAUCCACCAGGGAAGAAGCAAGCAUGACUCUCUCUGUUCACCAGGCUGUCAGACUUUCCAGAAUUCUUUGUUCACAUUCUGCUCCAGGGGCAAUGCCAGAGCAGCACCAGCAUAACAAGCCUCCAGGCGAGGAGGGGGUCCCAGUCUCCCUUCAGGGACCUCACAAUGUUUAGAGCCAAUUACUUGGGGAAAUACCAUAGCACUACCCACUAUACUGAAAACAUACUUGUCCCGUGAAUUCUCUACUUCAGAGGAUUCUUGAAUUUCUAUUCUUUUCUCUGUAUGAGUGGUAGGGGGUGAUGAAAUCAGGACCACUCAGCUACAUUUCAGUAGCAGUGCAGAAAUGGAUCUAGCAGCUCCUCUUUAAAAUGUGGGGAUACCUAUCAUCUAAUGUUCCCAACUUUGAGGCUUUAGCUGAAAUCUUGAGAUAACAAAAGUCUCAUUCCACAUUCUGUUGCUAAAAAUAAUAAUAGUGAUUAUAAUGGUAAUAGUAACAAUAUUAGCUAACAUUUAGAACUAUGGGCCAGGCAUUGCUCUAAACACUUUAAAUUUACUAAAUAUUUCACUCUCUAACAACCCCAUCAGGUUGUGUCUCCACUUGCAGAUGCAGAAACUGAGGCACAGAAAACUUAAACAACUUGCCUAAGUUUGUACAACUAGUAAGUGGCAGAUCUGCAAUUCAAAGGUAGGCAGCCCAGCUGUACAGUUUGUACCCUUAACCGCUACCCUUCCCUGCCUCUUCCUGUUAAGAGAUUUGAACUUUAUCUGGAGGGUGGUGGAAAGAACUUGACUUUUUCCCUCUUUACCUAUAAAAUAAGGAUAAUAAGACCUACCUCACACAGUGAUUGGGAAGAUGAUAAAGAUGAAGACUCUGGAACCAGCCCUGAUGCAUGGUAAGAACUUGAUAAUAAUUAUCAUGAUUUUUCCCUUUCUAUAUGACAUACUUGGUACCAAGCCAGCACCAAGAAAAUCCAGAACAGUCCUUCCUGUAGAAGUAAGAAAGCACCUCCUCCUCACCCUCAACUCCCCAAGACUCCAGAUCAGCUGGUAGAGAUAUUCAGCCCCACACAUGAUUCUCCUAGACAACAACCAAGGGAUAGCAAUUGUUUCCCAAAUCAAACUACAGCCAGCCAUGACCGUGACCGUAUGCGACAAUCUGUUUCCUGUUGGCUUAUUCCUUUGAAGACUGAGCCAAAGAAUCAGAGACAAGUUUGAGAAACUGAGAUUGAGUCUAAACUCUCUGGCUCCCUUGAUCAACUUCCCAUCUGAGUCUGGAUUGGGCAACGACUGGAGAAAGACCCUAAAUUUCACCUUCUCUGGAAGGCAAAGUGUCAAAAUUAAUCCCACAGAGUUACACAAACACUAGUGUGACGUCAAUCCCCUCCCUGGAUUGAGUUGACCAUGAGCAUUAGAGAAUUCCAGUUUGAGGCUAGUGAUACCUGUACCAACCGGAUGGGUUUUAGUUUCUAUAAAACCCCAAGGUAUUAAGGAAAGACUUGAUUACCUGUGGCUUAGCCUGAAUUAAAAGGCAAAGCAAUUACACCAAAGCUCUCAGCUAACUUUUAAGUGGGAUUAGGCCCACACUAACUUUAUGACACUACGUUGCUAAAAACAAAUGGCAGUUUCUCACAUGCCCUAGGAAAAAUUGGGGGCUUACAUAAUUUUUCCAAAUUAUGAGGCAUUGUGCCCAAGACAAGCAGAUAGAAAGGGCCUAGAACCAAAUGUACCCGGUCUUAGAGCUCACACGAAGUGACAAGAGAACAGUACUUUCAUUUUUGUUUUUCCACUCACCCAGAAAGGCAGUGUGGUGUCGGGGAAGAAUCGGGAUUUAAUCCUGUCUCUGCUACUGGUGUUUCAUGUCCUUGGGAAAAAAAAAAAAAUUAUGCAACUACUUUUUGUCUCACUUUCCUCAUCUAUAAAUGGGAAGCCAGACUCUAAAACUCUGAGUUUGUAUUCUUGGGGAUUUAAUUAUUAUGACUCAAAUAUGAGAGAUAUAAAUGAAAAAAGGAAGAAUGUACAGGAUAGUGAUAAAGAGAUGGAAAGACAACUGGAAAAGUAAGCAUCUUCAAUCUUUUGAUAAAGGCUUCCUUCCCCUUUGUAACUUGAUAGUCCUCAGGAACUCUCUGGCUCCCAGAGGGAGUGAAUCAAGGGUGUGUGUGGGGGAAGUUAUACAGGCAACUUAAAUGUUUUCCCAGAACCCGUGGAGAGUCAAUGCAGCCCUGCUUGUUGGAUGUGGCCGGUUUCUCUCAUGAACAUUUAUCACUUUUUCAGUGCAUACACAAAUAUUAAAUUCUCUAUUUCUCUAGCAUCCAGAAAAAUUUAAGAACUUAAGUUUGAUUCAAAAUCAAACCCAGAUUAAACUAAUAUUUUGUAAUCAAGCACCUCUACCUGGGCUGAUACUGAUUCUGGUGUGGACUUAAACAGCUUUACGGUUGCCAGGGACAUCUUACCAGGAGUGUAUUAAAAAAUAAAAUAAUGCACUGGCUUUGCAGUAUGAAAGCAGAGUCCAUAAACCACAAUAUCUCUCUGUGAGGAAAUAGACUUCCUGUCUGCUAUUUUUUUAUGUGCCCAAUUAAGUGCAGAUUUUUGGCUGCGUGAGCAACAUAACUGCAGCGUUUUUUCCAGAAAAACCAAGAAAUGAACUAAAAAACUAAACAAGAAAAAGUCUUAUAAGAAGAUGAUCUGAUAAGUGUUGGGAGAUAAUAUUUUUUUCUCAUUUUAUGCCUGAUAUCUUCUAAACUGGAUAUGACCAACCUCGAACAGAACGACUUUAGAUCAUAUUUCUAAUGUGCUGGCAGCUCCCCAUCCCAGAAGGAUUUUCACUGAGUAAGAGAAUGGUAAAGACACCAACUCCCUUUGUGAAUUAAAGGGGUAGUGAGGUUCUAGAGAAGGAUGGUGCUUCCAGAGGGAUGGACCACAAGUCUUCACAGGUCUGGAGUAUGUUUACCUUGAAGGAUGCCGCCACAGCAUGGCUUGAUGAGCGGUGCAUGGGUCCACGCCUGUGACCUGAACCUGUGAACCCUGGGCCGCCAAAGUGCAAUGUGAGAACUUAACCACUAAGCCACUGGACUGACCCCAUAUUUGUUUGUUUGUUAAGAAAUGAGAAUGGAUAAUAGAGUUCACUGGAAACUGUAAUGCGGGGAUUCAGUAAAUUUACUCGUUUUUCCACCAAAGCUCCUGCAUGCUUUUCCUUGCCUUCCCCAUGACCUUUAGCCAGGGUUCCCAAAUGACCUCCUGAAGCAAAUCUUUACAUUUUAAAAACAUCCCUGUGUUUUGUAUGUAGUUAUGUAGAUGCUGCCAUAUGCUCAACCUAUUCUUAACCGUUGGACUUCGCUUCCCAGAUACAGAGAAUAAAGCAGGUGUCCACUCCU